rnacentral:lncRNA from 1 species
UGUGGUUCCCGGUGGCAGCUCCCGGCCGCCCUGCCCCGGCCGUGCCCGCAAGCCUGAAGCGGAGGGACGGAGGGACGGACGGAUGGCCGGCAUCCCCGACGGAGGGAUGUUUCUGUCUUUGGUUAUCUAGCUGUAUGAGUGUUGUGGAGCCAUCAUAAAGCUAGAUAACCGAAAGUAGAAAUGACUUCCAGACCUGCUCGCCCAGGGGGACGCGGCCGCAAGCAGCACCGGGCGGUGCGGAGCCCACUCGACCCGACCCGACCCGGACCCGACCCGCCGCCCUCGGGGCUCCAGAUCCCAGCGAGCGGAGAAGGGACUUCUCAAGCCUCUGAGUUCCUUCUUGCAGUUGGCUACCACCUGCCCCGACUUGCCAUCUGACGUCUCCAGGUUUCUCCAGGAGGGUCCCACCCUGCUUCGCCGGUGGCCCCGG